CCUACGGGGGGCAGCAGUGGGAAAUAUUGGACAAUGGGGGGAACCCUGAUCCAGCCAUGCCGCGUGUGUGAAGAAGGCCCUCGGGUUGUAAAGCACUUUCAGUGAGGAAGAACGCCUGGUGGUUAAUACCCAUCAGGAAAGACAUCACUCACAGAAGAAGCACCGGCUAACUCCGUGCCAGCAGCCGCGGUAAUACGGAGGGUGCGAGCGUUAAUCGGAAUUACUGGGCGUAAAGCGCGCGUAGGUGGCUUGAUAAGCCGGUUGUGAAAGCCCCGGGCUCAACCUGGGAACGGCAUCCGGAACUGUCAAGCUAGAGUGCAGGAGAGGAAGGUAGAAUUCCCGGUGUAGCGGUGAAAUGCGUAGAGAUCGGGAGGAAUACCAGUGGCGAAGGCGGCCUUCUGGACUGACACUGACACUGAGGUGCGAAAGCGUGGGUAGCAAACAGGAUUAGAUACCCUUGUAGUC
rnacentral:rRNA from 1 species